rnacentral:rRNA from 1 species
UAGGGAAUAUUGCGCAAUGGAGGAAACUCUGACGCAGCGACGCCGCGUGAGUGAUGAAGGCCUUAGGGUCGUAAAGCUCUGCGUGGGGAAGGAUGAUGACGGUACCCCACAAGAAAGGACCGGCUAACUUCGUGCCAGCAGCCGCGGUAAUACGAGGGGUCCUAGCGUUGUUCGGAAUCAUUGGGCGUAAAGCGGGUGUAGGCGGCCACUCAAGUCAGAUGUGAAAUCCCUGGGCUUAACCUAGGGAAGUGCAUUUGGAUACUGUUUGGCUUGAGUACGGGAGAGGGUAGUGGAAUUCCUGGUGUAGUGGUGAAAUACGUAGAUAUCAGGAGGAACACCGGUGGCGAAGGCGGCUACCUGGCCCAGUACUGACGCUCAGACCCGAAAGCGUGGGGAUCAAACAGGAUUAGAUACCCUGGUAGUCCACGCCGUAAACAAUGGAUACUUGGUGUUGGAGGUAUUGACCCCUUCAGUGCCGAAGCUAACGCGUUAAGUAUCCCGCCUGGGGAGUACGGUCGCAAGAUUAAAACUCAAAUAGAAUUGACGGGGUCAUAGCUG